rnacentral:misc_RNA from 1 species
GUCUUGGUUUAAGUUUGUUGUGAAAACUUUUGGUGUGAUUGUUUGUUGUGUUAGAAUUAAAUGGUUGUGAUAGUUCCUCUUCUUUUUGCUUCCGUUUCUUGAUCUCUAAACAUGCUGCUGAAGUGUCUUAUUAUUAUUCACUGCAUCAGGCCUUUAAUUUUCCAAAGCCAAAAUUCCAGUCAAUGAACAAACCAAGAGAACCCUAGUACCCCUUGCAUCUAUCCAAAAAUUGCCUAUCAAUUAAUUACCCAUAGGUUUCGUGCAGCCAGAGAUGACCUCAAGUGGAAUCUGAGAUUCUAGAACUAACCAUUUGUCUUGCC